GCUCAUUACGGUAGUACAAAUACUAAAAUUGAAACUAUACUGAAGAGAUCAGCACGGCCCCUGUGCAAAGAUGACAACACAAACUCAUGAAGCAUUCCCUAGUUUU